CAGGGCAAAGCCAAGAAGUGAUUUUCCCCCCUCCCUGCCACGGGAACUGUGACCUAAUUCUCAUUCCUAAUCACAGAAUCAAAGGAGAAAUUUAUUUCAAUGAGCUAGUCUGAAAGAGCUAUUUGCCAAAUGGCUUUCUUUCCAAUACUUAAUGAAAAGAUGCAUUUUGUACUACUUUCAAAAAGUGAUAUGGACAGGAGACGGAAAUACUGGGUAGAAAAGGGCAGUUCCCUGGCAAAGCCUCACCCUCAAGCCUGGAUACCUGCUGUCUUAAACGAAAACGAAAACAGGCAUUUCUGUGUUCAUGCUCCAAAAGUUAUCUUUUGGCCUGCCACACCCCCUAUCCUGCACCCAUAUGAAUCCCGAACCCCAGACUCCAGAAGCAGACCAGCAAGCCCGCAGACCAGCAGAAGGAUGGCAGAACGAUGUGGCAGAGAAAGGGAGAAGAGGAGGAACAUCUGAAUGCCAAAAUGAGUUCAGCUGGGGGCAGUCAGAGAGGAGUCCAGCCACUGGGCAGCCAGAAUCCAGGGGAGGAUCACCUUUCCACUUCAUCCCCUUCCUCUGCCUCCCCAUCCAUCCUGCUGAAAGCCACCUCCACCACUCAAUAAAACCUGCCAUUCAUCCUUGGA
rnacentral:lncRNA from 10 species